rnacentral:rRNA from 1 species
GGGAAUGCGCAGCUACCAUGCAGUCGAGCGGUAACAGAGAGUAUCUUGCUACUCUGCUGACGAGCGGCGGACGGGUGAGUAAUGCUUGGGAAUGUACCUUAUGGUGGGGGACAACAGUUGGAAACGACUGCUAAUACCGCAUAAUGUCUUCGGACCAAAGCGGGGGACCUUCGGGCCUCGCGCCAUAAGAUCAGCCCAAGUGGGAUUAGCUAGUUGGUGAGGUAAUGGCUCACCAAGGCGACGAUCCCUAGCUGGUUUGAGAGGAUGAUCAGCCACACUGGGACUGAGACACGGCCCAGACUCCUACGGGAGGCAGCAGUGGGGAAUAUUGCACAAUGGGCGCAAGCCUGAUGCAGCCAUGCCGCGUGUGUGAAGAAGGCCUUCGGGUUGUAAAGCACUUUCAGUAAGGAGGAAAGGUUGGAUGUUAAUAGCAUUCAGCUGUGACGUUACUUACAGAAGAAGCACCGGCUAACUCCGUGCCAGCAGCCGCGGUAAUACGGAGGGUGCGAGCGUUAAUCGGAAUUACUGGGCGUAAAGCGUACGCAGGCGGUUUGUUAAGCGAGAUGUGAAAGCCCCGGGCUCAACCUGGGAACUGCAUUUCGAACUGGCAAACUAGAGUGUGAUAGAGGGUGGUAGAAUUUCAGGUGUAGCGGUGAAAUGCGUAGAGAUCUGAAGGAAUACCGAUGGCGAAGGCAGCCACCUGGGUCAACACUGACGCUCAUGUACGAAAGCGUGGGGAGCAAACAGGACUAGAUACCC